CUCGCUAUUUUCCCUUAUCCUCCUAAUCGUUCUUCAUUCGAUGCUUUUUUCAAGCUUUCAAGAGACAGAACGUCGCAGGCUGACGCUUUUCCCGUACGCUCCGAUCGGACUCGUCGCGAGCGCGGGAGAAGAAGACGGCUCGCCGUUUUAAGCGAGUUGCUUCCCUCGCGGCUGUCACGCGCGUCACCGCAUUCCUUUCCUUCCUUCCUGCCUUCCUUCCUUGCUCGCUUACCUCGCGUCCCGCCGGUGAACGCCGUUUUACGUGCGGUUGAGUUUGCGUUUUGUGCGAGCGAGCUCUUUGUGUUCCGUGAAUCCCUCGUUUUUGCCCAGUGUCCUUUUGUUGAUUUUUGAGGAUUUUUCAACGGCCUGCCUACGAGAGUCCAGAGAGCGCUUUUGAAUGCCGAUAGGAUCAUUUCCAAGCUCGGAUACCUUUUGAGAGGGGCUUUCGCUUCGUCGACUUGGAGUGACGUACACCGAUCUGAGCCACGAGGAGAAACCGAUACUUUCGGCGUAUGGUGA